rnacentral:rRNA from 1 species
AAUGAACGUUGGCGGCGUGGAUUAGGCAUGCAAGUCGCGCGACAAGGUUUUCCAGCUUGCUGGAGAACGGAGGAGCGGCGAAAGGGAGAGUAACGCGUGGAUACCUGCCCUUGGCUCUGGGAUAGCAGCGGGAAACUGCUGGUAAUACCGGAUAAUGUCCCCGGACCAAAGGUGUGAUUCCGGCCGAGGAUGGGUCCGCGUCCUAUUAGGUUGUUGGUGAGGUAAUGGCUCACCAAGCCGAAGAUGGUACCGGGCGUGAGAGCGUGACCCGGCUCACUGGGACUGAGACACUGCCCAGACACCUACGGGUGGCUGCAGUCGAGAAUCUUCCGCAAUGGACGCAAGUCUGACGGAGCGACGCCGCGUGCGGGAUGAAGGCCUUCGGGUUGUAAACCGCUGUCAGUGGGGAGCAAAUGCAUUGGGGCUAUCUCCAAUGUUUGAGCGAUCCGCAGAGGAAGUACGGGCUAAGUUCGUG